CCUACGGGAGGCAGCAGUGGGGAAUAUUGGACAAUGGGCGAAAGCCUGAUCCAGCCAUGCCGCGUGUGUGAAGAAGGCCUUCGGGUUGUAAAGCACUUUCAGUGGGGAAGAAAGCCUUGGGGCUAAUACCCUCGAGGAAGGACAUCACCCACAGAAGAAGCACCGGCUAACUCCGUGCCAGCAGCCGCGGUAAUACGGAGGGUGCGAGCGUUAAUCGGAAUUACUGGGCGUAAAGCGCGCGUAGGCGGUCUGAUAAGCCGGUUGUGAAAGCCCCGGGCUCAACCUGGGAACGGCAUCCGGAACUGUCAGGCUAGAGUGCAGGAGAGGGAGGUAGAAUUCCCGGUGUAGCGGUGAAAUGCGUAGAGAUCGGGAGGAAUACCAGUGGCGAAGGCGGCCUUCUGGACUGACACUGACGCUGAGGUGCGAAAGCGUGGGUAGCAAACAGGAUUAGAUACCCUAGUAGUC
rnacentral:rRNA from 1 species